UGGGUAACCUGCCUCAAAGAGGGGAAUAGCCUCCCGAAAGGGAGAUUAAUACCGCAUAAUAUGUUUAGGUCGCAUGACUUUAACAUCAAAGGAUUUUCUUUUAGAACUUCCACUUUGAGAUGGACCCGCGGCGCAUUAGCUAGUUGGUGAGGUAACGGCUCACCAAGGCAACGAUGCGUAGCCGACCUGAGAGGGUGAUCGGCCACAUUGGAACUGAGACACGGUCCAGACUCCGUAGGGAGG
rnacentral:rRNA from 1 species